rnacentral:tRNA from 1 species
GCCGGGAUAGCUCAGCUGGGAGAGCAACAGACUGAAGCAGCAAAGUCAGGCUGUGGUUUCUGGAGGUCGCGUGUUCAAUCCACGCUCCUGGCA